UGGGGAAUUUUGCACAAUGGAGGAAACUCUGAUGCAGCGACGCCGCGUGAGUGAUGAAGAUCUUCGGAUUGUAAAACUCUGUCCUUAGUGAAGAUAAUGACAGUAACUAAGAAGCAAGCCCUGGCUAAAUACGUGCCAGCAGCCGCGGUAAUACGUAUGGGGCAAGCGUUGUCCGGAAUUAUUGGGCGUAAAGGGUACGUAGGCGGUUUAAUAAGUCCUAAUUAAAAGGCUAUGGCUCAACCAUAGUAUGGUUAGGAAACUGUUAAACUUGAGUAGAAGAGGGGAAAAUGGAAUUCCAGGUGUAGCGGUGAAAAGCGUAAAAAUAUGGAGGAACACCAAUGGCGAAGGCAACUUUCAGGAAUCAAACUGAAGCAGAGGUACGAAGGCGUGGGGAGCAAACAGG
rnacentral:rRNA from 1 species